ensembl:miRNA
CCGUGGUUUGGAGUGUGGUCAGGAGCCAUAGGGAGGGAUACCAAUCCAGCCUUAGGAAAAGAAACCUGCCACAGGAGUCUUGGAGAUUGGUGACCGUCCUAAUGACUUAAGUGGUCAACCACUGCCCAUGUAAAAUUUA